rnacentral:rRNA from 1 species
UAAAGGGUGUGUAGGCGGGUAUUUAAGUCAGUGGUGAAAUCUCCGAGCUCAACUCGGAAACUGCCAUUGAUACUAUUUAUCUUGAAUAUUGUUGAGGUAGGCGGAAUAUGUCAUGUAGCGGUGAAAUGCUUAGAUAUGACAUAGAACACCGAUUGCGAAGGCAGCUUGCUAAACAAUUAUUGACGCUGAGGCACGAAAGCGUGGGGAUCAAACAGGAUUAGAUACCUUGU